rnacentral:ncRNA from 1 species
AGCAAAUCGUUGAAUAAGAAAAGUAGCGCAUCGAAUUCCUCUCAAAGAGAGCCGGUGGCAGGUGGAAACCGGCGGGGAAAAUGCGUGAAUGGGCUUAUGAGAGGUUCCUUGAACUACAGUAAAGGAACCCGUCUUCCCCGCGUUACAGGGGAUCGAGUGAAAGCUUUUUCAGCUUUAACAAGAGGUGGCACCGCGGUCAAACCGUCCUCUGC